AUACUUUUCUCGGCCUUUGGCUAAGAUCAAGUGUAGUAUCUGUUCUUAUUAGUUUAAUAUCUGAUACGUGGGCUUUUAGCCCAUAUGAUAUUAAAUUUAUUUCUUGAGGAGAGGGCCCAUCAUGGUAGCUCGCUACUAAUGUCUUCAAGUGUCGUCCAUGCGUUGCACUAUUCCACGGGCCUGGCACAACCCAC